UGUAGAUCCCUGGACAUUGUUCUUAUUCCAUGUCCAAGGCAGCCAUGGAUGCCUUCACUCGAGGAUUAGCACAUGAGUUAGCGCCCUUUGGAGUGCGAGCAAAUACUACGAGGCCUGGACUCAUACGAAGCAAUUUUCUGAGACGUGAUAACGAUCCUGGUUUAGGAGAUGAAGAAUC